rnacentral:tRNA from 1 species
GCCCCGGUGGCGGAACUGGUAGACGCGCUCGACUCAAAAUCGAGUGGCCUUUGGCCGUGGGAGUUCGACUCUCCCCCGGGGCACCA